UAUUAUUUAAAUUUUUGUGUUUAGUUACAUAUCUUUAUAAAACAAUGUUAAAGAUAGUUUGUUUUAGUCUACAUGUUUGAUAAGCAUGACCUAAUUUUAUGUUGUGUAAUAACUUCUUAUAUAUGACAUUAAUUUAUUUUGACACAUUGUUAGUGUAAAAUUCAGUAAAAGUCCAUUGUUAUUGUAUAAUUCAAUAAAAGGCCUAUUCAUUUUAGGUUGUAAAUAAUCAAAUUUCAAAAUGGGCCAAAGAAUUUGUAUCCAAUUAGAAGCUGUUAAUGGGCUUGUGGGUUGAAGGCCCUGUGUUUGAAAUAUAGCCCUAAAGACAUUUUGAAUGGAACAUUUACGUCUUUCGGAACUAACUUGCGAGAACGAAGAGAGAGCUUUCUUCAAGAUCUUUGGCAAACGAAUCCACAGUUAUAAGGAUGUAUGGUUUUGCAUGUUACAUGGAGGACAACCAAAGAAAAUGUUUGGUUCUCCCAAAAAAAUAUAAAGAAUGGAUAACAGACUUUAACUAUCCAUUGGGCUUUGUGAAAAUGCGGACAACGAAUGGGCAGGUCUUUGAAGUGAAGGUAUAUGAGUUAGCAAACUUCUGUUAUUUUUACAAUGGGUGGUA